rnacentral:rRNA from 1 species
UACGUAGGUGGCAAGCGUUGUCCGGAUUUAUUGGGUUUAAAGGGUGCGUAGGCGGCUUGAUAAGUCAGUGGUGAAAGCCGAUCGCUUAACGAUCGAACUGCCAUUGAUACUGUCGGGCUUGAGUAUAGAUGAGGUAGGCGGAAUUGACAGUGUAGCGGUGAAAUGCAAAGAUAUUGUCAAGAACACCAAUUGCGAAGGCAGCUUACUAAGUUAUAACUGACGCUGAGGCACGAAAGUGCGGGGAUCAAACAGG